AGGACAACACGGCACAAAUGGAUCCCAUGAAUGCCAUCAAAUAAAGAAGACUUCACUCUUGUGCAAAUAUGCAUGCAAAGAUUUACCAGACUUUUCAGUAGUUGCUUUGCUGCUCUUGUCUCCAGUGAAUCUAUAAGAAGAUCUAUUUUUCUCCUGAAACAUUACUCUGUUGCCCAUUCUCCCCUACAUGGCCGAAAUGUUCAG